AGAGACCACCAUAAAGAGAAAGGUGGUGGACGGAAAACUGGUAAUGGUAAGAGUAUUUCUAAUUCUAAAUACCAAAAUAAUGCUAUGUAAAUAAGAGGGUUAUAUUAUUUUCAAAAUGUUCUUUGUUCUUUGGAAUACAAAGGACAAAAUGGCAAAGAAUAAAGUCAAGAUUAAUGCUUGACUGAUAUUUAAAUCAUAAAAGACUCAUCUGCAAGAACUGGAUCAAUAUUUUAGAAAUAACAAAGUUGAUUUGUUAGUUUUAGAAAUAAUAAUAUCUACAAAGUGAGAGUAAAAUUCAAGAAAGUAUGAAUAAGUCUCUUACUGGUUUGAAGUCUAAAAUACAUGUCUAAACUUUAAUAGCAAAAUGCAUCCUGAAAGGCUCAAUUGUAGAAUAUUUGUAGACAUCUAAGCAUUCUGCUUCCAAGAAUCUAUAGUAACAUACACCGAACCAUGUUAUCAGGCAGGCUGAGCUCCAGGGAGACCUCUUCUUAGUAGAUGAGAUUGAUGACAAAGGUUACCUGAGAUGACCUCUUUAAGGUUAAGGCUCCAUGCUUAAUAAUUAACAAAUACAUCAAAUGUAAACUGAUUCCUGUCAUGUUAGGAAUGUUACUUUUAAGAGGCACUUAGCCCUUGCUGCACAACAGAUUAACAUAGGGGUAUAUUCCAAAAUGGGGGCCCAAUAUGGAUCAAUUGAAUGCAGAUCUCCUGGGGUGGGAUCAGUAUGUUUAAAUAUUCUCCAGAUAGGGUAAAUCAUUUUGAAAAUCACUCUUUUAGUAUAUUUAAAUGCAUACAAAUAAUGCAAAAACCUUGCCACUUUAAAAAAAUUCCUUUAUAGUAAAAUAUCAACUUUAAAACUAUUUAUCUAGUUUCAAUGGUCAUCAUCCUAAAUUACUGGAUAUUGGCAUACUGGGAUAUUUUAUUUCUUUCUAAAUUUCAUCUUAUAUGUUUAUUUUCAAUUUCUAAUUUUAUCAUAAAUUUGUUGUUCUCUGUCUUAAGUUUUAGAUACUUAAUCUUUUUUUCUUUUCUUAAGGAAUGUAUGAUGAAGGGCGUGGUGUGCACCAGAAUUUACGAGAAGGUCUGAGAAAAACAUUUACCCACUGAGUGGUAUUUAGUCACUUAAUAUUGGAAAUAAAUUGCUUCCAUUGGCAAGACCCAACUACUCUCCAGUUUGCUUUUUGGUUUGAAUUUUUUUGUUUUCGUUUUUGUUUUGUUUGGGUUUUUGUCUUCACAUGCUAGAUUGACAAAGCCCUUAACUGAGUCUUAAUCUAAAAACCACUGCUAUUUAAAUAUUUUCAAUUUGUGUACAUGUCCUUAUUAUAUUAACUCAUCUAUGUCUAGCCAGACUUAAAUAAUUGAUAGUGUCAUUAAUUUCUAAGAAAUUCUAAUCUAUGGUAUUCUGAUUAUUUAAAAUAAUAAUUAAAAGAAGUAAUGGGAUAAUAAAAGGAUGUAAAAGUUUACUUACGGGGGUAGCAAACUCAAACGCCUUCUGGGACCAGAGAGUUAUAAGCCCAUAAGGAAGCCACAAAGAAGCAAUUCAGAAAGAGCAGUUUUAAAUGAAGGAGUUCUAGUUUCAACUAAAAGGAGCAGCCUUAACUCAACUUCAACCAGUUUUUUAAAAUUAAGGGCUAGUUUAUAAGCAGUGAAAGGCACAGAUACUGAGGACAGAGUUGAAUGCAUUGUGACAGAUGCAAGCACUCAUAUAACUAAUCCCCUUCCCAGGCAAUGCCCUACCCUGUCCCAUCCCUACCAAAAGCAAGUACAGUAGUGAUUUGGUUCUAUCACCAUAAGUUAGUUUUGCUUGUUCCUAUAUAUGGAACCAUGGUGUUUUCUGUUUGCCCUUUUAAACUUAGCAUUCUUUGAAAUUCAUCCCUAUUGUUGCAUGUAAUAGUGGUUUGAUCCUUUUCUUCCAAAUACUAUUCCAUUGUAUGACUAUGUCAUUUUAUCUGUUUAUCCUUCAGUUAAUACAAUUGGGCUGUUACCAAUUUUUGGCUAGUGUGAAUAAAGCUGC
rnacentral:lncRNA from 1 species